CGGAGUGUGGCGCAGCUUGGUAGCGCACUUGGUUUGGGACCAAGGGGUCGGGAGUUCAAAUCUCUCCACUCCGACCA
rnacentral:tRNA from 1 species